rnacentral:rRNA from 1 species
GACGAACGCUGGCGGCGUGCCUAAUACAUGCAAGUCGAGCGAACAGAUAAUGAGCUUGCUCCUUUGACGUUAGCGGCGGACGUGUGAGUAACACGUGGGUACCCUACCUAUAAGACUGGGAUAACUUCGGGAAUCCGGAGCUAAUACCGGAUAACCUCUUGAUCCGCAUUGUUCUAAAGUGAAAGAUGGUUUUGCUAUCUCUUAUAGAUGGACCCGCGCCGUAUUAGCUAGUUGGUAAGGUAACGGCUUACCAAGGCGACGAUACGUAGCCGACGUGAGAGGGGGGUCGCCCACACUGGAACUGAGCCACGGUCCAGACUCCUACGGGAGGGAGCAGUAGGGAAUCUUACGCAAUGGGCGAAAGCCUGGCGGAGCAACGCGGCGUGAGUGAUGAAGGGGUUCGGCUCGUAAAACUCUGUUAUUAGGGAAGAACAAACGUGGAAGUAACUGUGCACGUCUUGACGGUACCUAAUCAGAAAGCCACGGCUAACUACGUG